AUGACCACUAUUAUCUAUAGGAUCGUACUGCUACAUUUCUAGCAAUAGAAUAGGCAAGCAAUAAAGUCUGGUUGAUGACAUGUGGCUUCAAGGCCAGAGCGUGAUUGACGGUGGAGAUCUAUCGUUUGAUCAAAGCUGUAGAGGAUCGUUCCGGUUGGUCUCGACCGACCGGAUGGCCUUGAAGCUGUCUGACAGACC